rfam:Triticum aestivum genome assembly, contig: Triticum_aestivum_CS42_TGACv1_scaffold_500855_6BL
GAAAUACCCCCUCCGUCCAGUAAUACUUGUCAUCAAAAUGAAUAAAAGAGGAUGUAUCUAGAUGUAUUUUAGUUCUAGAUACAUCCCUUUUUUUCCAUUUUGUUGACAAGUAUUUUCGGAUGGAGGGAGUAUGAU